rnacentral:rRNA from 1 species
CAGCACCUCAAGUGGUCAGGAUGAUUAUUGGGCCUAAAGCAUCCGUAGCCGGCUCUGUAAGUUUUCGGUUAAAUCUGUAUGCUCAACAUACAGGCUGCCGGGAAUACUGCAGAGCUAGGGAGUGGGAGAGGUAGACGGUACUCGGUAGGAAGGGGUAAAAUCCUUUGAUCUAUUGAUGACCACCUGUGGCGAAGGCGGUCUACCAGAACACGUCCGACGGUGAGGGAUGAAAGCUGGGGGAGCAAACCGGAUUAGAGACCCGAGUAGUC